UAACAGCACCAAGGUUUGUCCUGAUCCCGUCAAUGAUCUGUCCCAGCUCCAGGACUGCAGUGUCUUCAUCACAAUUAUCCACAAAAUCCACGGGAGCAAGGAGGGGGAGUCUGUGCUGGAGCAGCCGCUGCCAGAGGAUCUCCUUCAUCCAUGGUUUCCUGCAGAAGAACGUGGUCUCUGUAUCAAACUCAUGGAUAGGAGAGAGGCCAGGAUGAAGUGACAGAAUAUGAUAUUGAAGAAGGCAACCACUGACCGCUUCGGCUGUUUGUCUCUGCACGGUCACACGUAGGAUGGCCUUGGACAGUCCACGCUUCAAAAGAUGAGUCUGGACUCUCCAGAUUUUCAGUCCUUGAUGUUGUUUAUUAUUCCUUAUCUACAAAAUUUUCUUCCAGCCCGACAGAGGUCUCACCAGCAAGGCAGCCAAGGGCACUCUGACCUCCCACUGGGCGGUCGUCUCUUUUAAUACUAAAAGCUACGUACAUCAUAUUUACCUUUAUUUCCCAAUACCUUUCACCCACAUUAGCAAGUGCACCUUCACCAAGAAUCAAUCCCAAAGUGCUAACAUUACCACAGAAAAUGGAUGACAAGAAGAAGAAAGAAGGACAAGACACGCCCAGAUUCCUCCAUCUUGACAGCUCUAGAGCAGGCAAGCUCUAGAGAGGCAGUGUGAAGAUGAUGUGGGCUGGUCCACUUCUGCUUCACAACUUCGUUUAUGCAAACACCUGUGAAGGAUGCAAAAAGGUUAUCUGAAGCGACUGGUCCGGCUGUUUGUCUCUGCACGGUCACACGUAGGACAGCCUUGGGACAGCCCGCGCUUCAAAGGACAAGUCUAGGACUCUUCAGAUUUUCAUUCUUCAGUAUUGUUUAUUAUUUCUUAUCUACAAAAUUGUCUUCCAGCCCGACAGAGGUCUGACUAGCAAGGCAGCCAAGGGCACUCUGACCUCCCACUGGGCGGUUGUCUAUUUUUAUACAAAAAACUACGUACAUCAUAUUUACCUUUAUUUCCCAAUACCUUUCACCCAUAUUAGCAAGUGCACCUUCACCAAAAACCAAUCCCAAAGUGCCAACAUCACUACAGAAAAUGGAUGACAAGAAGAAGAAAGAAGGACAAGACACGCCCUAAUUCCUCCAUCUUUUCUUCAUAACCCCCUGUCCUGAUUUAGGGCAAAUUUGGUAGAGAAUCUCCUCCAAAGGAGGGCCCCUCCAGAAAGCAAACCCACACGGCCCCUCCCCCCAACUGGUUCGGGAAGAAUUCCUCAACGAGAAGUGGAAAGAACCUGUUUAUUUAACAGGCACAGCAUCCCCCAGCACAAAAUGAACAAUACCGGAUGACACCGCUCUGAAAAAGGUGACAAAAUCAGAAAGUCUCUUUUGGGGGCGUUUGCUCUGUUAGUCCCUCCAGUGCUGGGGCACCUGCUGCAGCCAAACGGU